AUAACUUUUUCACAAAUUUGUUAGAUUGUCUGGAGUGGUAGGAAUCAGGAGGGUGCUGGCGCAACUGCAGGGGAAGAGGUGGAAAUGGUGAACAGUUUCCUCUCUCGUUGUGCUCUCACAACUAAGUACAUGACCAAAUCUGGUAUGUGAUCCUCCUUUAUUACAUUAAUAAAAAUGUUUUGUUCUUUCAGUUAUUCUUUCAUUAGUCUUUCAUUCUUUAUAUAAAAAUACAGAAGAGAAACCUUUAUUUUAAUUAAAUUUGAGUAGGCCGUCCAGUUACAUUUGACUAUGUUUUCAAAAAGCUCGCAAUGACAUGCUGACUGUACAUGCAAUUGGGUGGAAUAGACGCAAGCAUGAUGGCCUUCAUCUUGCAUUGUCCAACAGAUAUGUCAAGGUAUUAAACAUAUUACACAGAAUUAAUCUGGUCCAAGAUGGCAAAGGCAAUUGUUUGUUUGCAUUUUUAUUGAAGACCGUCCGAAAGGCUGAGGCUGAGUCCCAGAGGCUGGAGAACUUGAGCCGUGAACUUGGGUGUCCUGAGAACAUGGUGCAGCAGUGGGUACAUGACGUCAGACAGUGGGCCACUGAUGAUUCUAUAGAUGCCAGACAGGAUGACCAACAUAUCCUUCAGCGGACGAUAGAGCACAUAUGUCUGGGUGUCUAUCAAAAAAAAGCAAGCCUUUAUAAUCAGACAGACAGCAACAAGAUUCGACAAAUGCGGCGACGGAAAUUGGGGGACGAGAAAAGAAAACUCUUUGAAGCAAUCAAACGAUACAAUGAGCAGGUGCCAGAGGAGGAGGGCAUAAAUGAGCAGAUGGUGGAGAGCCGACUCUCUAUGGUGGGCCAUGCCAGUGGGGAGGACAGUCUAAUAUGGCCAUGGGAGGUUCACAGCACUGAAUCCACAAACAUCCUCACUAAGAAGAAGAUCUUCGAUGCAUGCAUGUCAAAGAUGCGGCUGCAAGAAGAGAAGAUCCUAAUUCUUAGGGAGAUGAGACAGCACUGCACCUAG
ensembl:lncRNA